rnacentral:rRNA from 1 species
GAUCAACGCUGGCGGCGUGCCUAAUGCAUGCAAGUCGCACGGGCGGGGCUUCGGUCCCGUGCCGUGGCGAACGGCUGAGGAACACGUGCGUACCUGCCCUACCGUGGGGAAUACCGGCUGGAAACAGCCGACAAUACCGCGUACGCUCGCCGGGGUAAGACCCGGCGAGGAAAGCGCUUCGGCGCGCGGUGGGAGGGGCGCGCGGCCCAUCAGGUCGCUGGCGGGGUAACGGCCCACCAGGCCAUUGACGGGUCGCUGGUCUGAGAGGACGGCCAGCCAGACUGGGACUGAGACACGGCCCAGACACCUACGGGUGGCAGCAGCAAGGAAUCUUCCCCAAUGGGGGCAACCCUGAGGGAGCAACGCCGCGUGGAGGAUGACGGCUUUCGGGUUGUAAACUCCUUUUCGGGGGGACGAAACGGACGGUACCCCCGGAAUAAGCCCCGGCUAACUCUGUGCCAGCCGCCGCCGUAACAC